rnacentral:rRNA from 1 species
AGUGAACGCUGGCGGUAGGCCUAACACAUGCAAGUCGAACGGCAGCACAGUAAGAGCUUGCUCUUACGGGUGGCGAGUGGCGGACGGGUGAGGAAUACAUCGGAAUCUACUUUUUCGUGGGGGAUAACGUAGGGAAACUUACGCUAAUACCGCAUACGACCUACGGGUGAAAGCAGGGGAUCUUCGGACCUUGCGCGAUUGAAUGAGCCGAUGUCGGAUUAGCUAGUUGGCGGGGUAAAGGCCCACCAAGGCGACGAUCCGUAGCUGGUCUGAGAGGAUGAUCAGACACACUGGAACUGAGACACGGUCCAGACUCCUACGGGAGGCAGCAGUGGGGAAUAUUGGACAAUGGGCGCAAGCCUGAUCCAGCCAUACCGCGUGAGUGAAGAAGGCCUUCGGGUUGUAAAGCCCUUUUGUCGGGAAAGAAAAGCAGCAGGUUAAUACCCCGCUGUUCUGACGGUACCCAAAGAAUAAGCACCGGCUAACUUCGUG